rnacentral:rRNA from 1 species
UACGUAGGUGGCAAGCGUUAUCCGGAUUUAUUGGGCGUAAAGGGAACGCAGGCGGUCUCUUAAGUCUGAUGUGAAAGCCUUCGGCUUAACCGGAGUAGUGCAUUGGAAACUGGGAGACUUGAGUGCAGAAGAGGAGAGUGGAACUCCAUGUGUAGCGGUGAAAUGCGUAGAUAUAUGGAAGAACACCAGUGGCGAAAGCGGCUCUCUGGUCUGUAACUGACGCUGAGGUUCGAAAGUGUGGGUAGCAAACAGG